rnacentral:rRNA from 1 species
AGACGUCUACAUUAGAUACCCCUGUAGUCCCAGACCGUAAACUAUGCGCGUUAGGUGUAUCGGUGACCACGAGUCACCGAGGUGCCGAAGGGAAACCGUGAAACGUGCCGCCUGGGAAGUACGGUCGCAAGGCUGAAACUUAAAGGAAUUGGCGGGGAGCACCACAACGGGUGGAGCCUGCGGUUUAAUUGGACUCAACGCCGGGAAGCUCACCGGAUAAGACAGCGGAAUGAUUGCCGGGCUGAAGACUCUGCAUGACUAGCUG